rnacentral:misc_RNA from 1 species
GAUGAAGAACGCAGUGAAAUGCGAUAAGUAAUGCGAAUUGCAGAAUUUCCGUGAGUCAUCGAAUCUUUGAACGCACAUUGCGCCCGCCAGCAUUCUGGCGGGCAUGCCUGUUCGAGCGUCAUUUCAACCCUCGAGCCCCCCCGGGGGCCUCGGUGUUGGGGGACGGCACACCAGCCGCCCCCGAAAUGCAGUGGCGACCUCGCCGCAGCCUCCCCUGCGUAGUAGCACACACCUCGCACCGGAGCGCGGAGACGGUCACGCCGUAAAACGCCCAACUUCUUAGAGUUGACCUCGGAUCAGGUAGGAAUACCCGCUGAACUUAAGCAUAUCAAUAAGCGGAGGA